UACGAAGGGGGCUAGCGUUGUUCGGAAUUACUGGGCGUAAAGCGCGUGUAGGCGGGUCCUUAAGUUAGGGGGGAAAUGCCAAGGCUCAACCUUGGAACUGCCUUUGAUACUGGGGAUCUUGAGUCCGGGAGAGGUGAGUGGAACUGCGAGUGUAGAGGUGAAAUUCGUAGAUAUUCGCAAGAACACCAGUGGCGAAGGCGGCUCACUGGCCCGGAACUGACGCUGAGACGCGAAAGCGUGGGGAGCAAACAGG
rnacentral:rRNA from 1 species